UACGGGGGGGGCAAGCGUUGUUCGGAAUUACUGGGCGUAAAGGGCUCGCAGGCGGCCAACUAAGUCAGACGUGAAAUCCCUCGGCUUAACCGGGGAACGGCAUCUGAUACUGGAUGGCUUGAGUUCGGGAGAGGGAUGCGGAAUUCCAGGUGUAGCGGUGAAAUGCGUAGAUAUCUGGAGGAACACCGGUGGCGAAGGCGGCAUCCUGGACCGACACUGACGCUGAGGAGCGAAAGCCAGGGGAGCAAACGGG
rnacentral:rRNA from 1 species